UCUCAAAAAACAAAAACAAGCAAACACAACCCUUUAAAAACAGAAUAAGGAAUUUGUUUCUAAACCUAUAUGGAAAGAUUCCCAAGAUUGGAUUUCAUAACUUCUAGAGGUCACUUGUCCCACUUCCUCCUCUGCUAAACAGGGUUUUUGGGAGAAGCUCAGUAGACCAUGGUCCCUUCACUCUUAGUGCCCUUCGGCCAGCUCCUGACAUGAAGCAAAGGCCCUUGUGUUUCUCGAAGCUUUCUGCCUUGUCAGGGAUGAGGACUAAGCGGGAGGAUCUUUAAAGGCAGAGCAUAUGCGCAGAAAUCUUUGGUUUCUCUCAUUAGGUCAAAAAUACCCUUUCGGCUGGGCACCGUGGCUCACGCCUGCAAUCCCAGCACUUUGGGAGGCUGAGGUGGGCAGAUCACCUGAGGUCAGGAGUUCGAGACCAGCCUAACAAACAUGGCGAAACCCCGUCUCUACUAAAAAAUACAAAAAUUAGCUGGGCGUGGUGGCAGUUGCCUAUAAUCCCAGCUACUCAUGAGGCUGAGGCAGGGAGAAUUGCUUGAACCUGGGAGGUGGAAGUUGCAGUGAGCCGAGAUCACGCUACCGCACUCCAGCCUGGGAGACUCUGUCUUGGAAAAAAUAUAUAAAUAAAUGAAUAAAUAAAAAAUCUUUCCUGAUCCCCAGGCUGGAAGGCAAAGAGUAUGAGUAAAAGGAGGACCAAGGGCUUGGAGAAGGGCCACCGUUCAUUCUGUCUCUGCAUUCAUGGUUCAGGUGCUGUCAGUCAUGCUGAGAGGAAGGCAGACAAACUGUGUCACCCCAAAGCCUUCUGGCCCCUCUCAGAUAGUGUGGUCCCAUCCAGGAGCUCUGCAGGCCACGAGUUCAGAGUGGGAAGGGAUGUGGGAGGGGCUUAGGAGCUGGGCAUGAUAUCUUGGGGUGAGAU
rnacentral:lncRNA from 1 species